rnacentral:lncRNA from 1 species
AUGAAGGACUUGCAUGGUAAGUUGAUGGAGAAAGAUGCCAUGAUUAAAGUCCUACAGCAGCGUUCCCGCCGAGAUCCCACUCCUCUACGUCCUGCCAGCUCUGUGCCCUCCAUUCCCAUAGCAACUGGACUACACACACGUCACUCAUCACAGACCGAUCACAGAUACCAGCACAGCUGGAAAGAUGUUCUCCUGGGAAAACACCAAGUAGAGCACAUCCUUCCCUCUCAGCCCUCUCUUUUGGUCUCUGUCUCUUCAUCUCUCCCUGCCUCCUCUCCUUCCUCUCUUCCUCCAUCAUUCUCCUCCUCUCUACCUUCCUCUUUUCUUCCCUUCUUGGCCCCCACACGUUCAAACACAUCAUUAAUAACCUCAUCGUCCAGUGUUCCCCAUUCCAGCACUUCCUCUCUCCCUCCCUCUUUUUCUUCCACAUUACCCUCGCCCUCAUCUGGCUCUCUUCAGCCUCCUUUAUCAUUCCCUCUCCCCUCCACUCCUCUCUUGUCUCUUCAUUCUAAAUCUGCCAGCAGAGACAGCAGCAGUCAAACAGGACUUAGUCCAAAGACAUUUAGUGCUGCAUCCUCCAAAAUACAAGAAAAUACAGAAUCUCCAUCCAGCCAGGCUAAAGGCCAAGAAGUUCGAGGACAGAAGAUGCCCCUACCUGACCUAGAUCUGGUGGAGAUCCUUAUCUGAAAGAACAAUCCUGGAAGUAGCAUUCUUACAGAUAGAACAGUGCUUAAGAAAGAGUGAGGGAGUGAAAAACAAAAUAUGAGUAAUGGAUCACAUACAACAGACAGACAGAAAGGAGAGAUUACAGAAAGGAACGAAGGAAUGCAGUGCAAAGUAAAAGCUAGAAUUCAGUAUUGUGCCUCCAAAAUACUGAAUUGGAUAAUUGAUUCUAAUUUUAUUCUGUCCAUUUUGGACCCUGAAACAACAAUGACUAUGAUAUUUGACCUGGCCUAUGCAUGUAUAAUGUCUUAAAUUGCAUUAUGUCAGAUUAUCAGCUGCCUCAUAAGUGCGUUCCACAAAGCUGUAACAUUUUCUGUUUUAAAGGAGGGGAACCCCCCCUCCCCCCCCUCAGAUUUAGGAAUUGGGUAUAUAGUAUGUAGCGUAUGAGCAGUUCAUUCAUUCAUUGGUUCUGAAUUAAUGAAUCAUGGCUCGGUGAAUCUAAAACAAUGCACAUUCCUUGGCUAAAACCCAAAGCUUUUAGCCCCUGCACUAAUGCAGGUAAAUCAAACUCUCUGCAAGCUGAAUGGCCGGCCUGGUGCCAGCAUGGCUGGGUUUAAAUUCCUGACCAGAUCGUAAAACUUUAUUACCCCAAACUGGGAGAAACAGAAAAAGCCCAGAUCGCUAGGAAUUCUUGUAAGGAAAAAGGAAAGUAAAUAUAUUCUAAAUGUAUUGACGGUAUUUCCUUUUUGUGCUUCGAUGUCUUCCAUAUCAAAUUGGAGUAUCUACAAUUUUAUGUGUUAAUCAAACUUUAAAUG